AUUUACAUACGUUAGUAAGAUAGUAAAUUUACAUAUGUUCUUAGAGAUUAAUGUGCUAAUAUAACAAAGUCAUAUUAAUACGGGUCAUUCGAUAUUUUCAUUCCUCGAUUUGAUUGUAGGUUUGAAACUGUUAGAGCAUUAAACUAUAUUAGAAAUCAGCCCUAUCUUAAUAAUGCGAGUAUCAAACUUGCUUCUUUAUGAUCAGAUUAUCGCGAGGUAAUUUUAUUAGCGUGUGUACAAGCUUAUAUAUUAUAUGUUUAUGCGUAUCAAUCUGAUAUCAAAACACGUGGACGAUUUAUGCAUCUCACAGUCAACGCAGCGAGCAAACACGCAGAAUGGAGUAACGGCAAAUAAGGAUGUACGCCAUCAAGGGAAUCAAUAAACUCGUCCUAGUCAUCUGCACUCUGAUCUCGAUGGAACGAGAAAUGGAAAGGAAAUAGGACGCGGCCGAUCAACCGGGGAAACAGGAAUAGAGGGGGUAGGUUGCCAUGGUGGGAUGAGAUAGUGAAUGAGAAGAGGGGUGGAAAGAAGGGACGAAGGGUAUGAAUAGAGGGUGCGGAUAUGUGGGCGUACGUUGGCUAGACAAGGAGAUCGGUAAAUUUCUUUGUUCCCCAGGAAAAGGAAAACAGAGAGAGAAAAUAAGAUUAUGAAACAUGAUUCGAUGAAAAUAAUAGAAGAGAAGGGAGAAAAAAAAACAGCAGGUGGAAUUGGCGAAACGGAAAAAUAUGUGCGCGCGCGUGCGUGGAUGCUCGAUGAACGGAGGGAGAGAACAAGGGAAGCAGCGAGAGAGAAAGAGAGAUACAUGUCGAGGGGAAAGACGUAAAGUGGGAAACUGAAGAAGGGGUAGGCAAGAUAGACCGGAACUCUUUAGACGUCCACGGACCUGCCCGCGAGCCUCGUUCCCUCCCUUUAAGUUUCUCGCACGUUUUUUUCGCGCUAUCAUUUCUCCCGUUAGUUAAAUCACUUUUUCCGCGCGGAGAAUUUCGUAAAGAUCAUUCAGGAUGGCCCACGCCACGUCCGAUAAUGUCAACGAGAAGAGCUAUAUCCUGGACGCGAGGAAGAAUUUCGAGGACGGCGGCAGUCUCGCAUCAGAAGAAUCUUACGAUGACAUGAGACGAUUAGUUGGGGAGGAGGAGGAGGAAUCCGGCAAAUUUAGCAGCCUACCACUCGCGAGCUUCAACUUCAUCAAUUCCAUCAUCGGCAGCGGCGUGAUCGGAAUACCAUAUGCUCUGCAUCAGGCUGGCUUCGGUCUCGGCCUUGCUCUGUUAAUUUUGGUAGCAGCGUUGACCGAUUACUCGUUGAUCCUCAUGGUGCGAAGCGGACACAUCUGUGGCGAGAUGAGUUAUCAGGGUCUGAUGCGAGCGAGUUUUGGCCGCGCUGGAUUCUACAUUCUCACAGUAUUGCAAUUUUUCUAUCCGUUCAUAGCAAUGGUCUCUUACAAUGUCGUCGUCGGCGAUACAGUCACGAAAGUUCUGAUAAGGAUAGUGGGGAUGGACGAGCUGAGUAUUUUCGAUCAUCGACAAGUUGUCAUUCUCCUGGCAACCCUUGGCAUCACCAUUCCACUUUGUCUGUACAGGAAUGUCGCGCGAUUAGCGAAAAUCUCCUUCCUCUCUCUAGUCUGCGUCGGAUUCAUCCUUCUCGCCAUUUUCAUCCGGAUGGGCAGCAUGUCCGCUUUGGUUCCAAGUCAAAAUGACAGCUGGAGAUUUGCCAAUUUCCCGGGAGUCGUUCCAUCUAUCGGUAUAAUGGCAUUUGCCUUCAUGUGUCACCACAAUACCUUCCUAAUUUACGGUUCAAUCGAACGAGCGACCCAACAAAAAUGGGACGUGGUGACACACUGGUCCCUCUUUACGUCUUUUCUGAUCGCCGCGACCUUUGGGAUCGUCGGCUACGCCACCUUCACGUCGUAUGUCCAGGGCGAUCUCAUGGAAAACUAUUGCUGGGAUGACGACCUGAUGAACUUUGCCAGGGUCAUGUUCAGCGGCACCAUACUACUAACUUUUCCGAUCGAGUGCUUCGUUACACGUGAGGUGCUUAUGACGGCGAUCAAGGGCACGGAUGAAUUGGAGGGACACGAGGCAUAUGUGCCCAAUUCGGAUCGCAAGUACCUGAUAAUUACCUUGACGAUAGUAUCCGCGGCAUAUUUGAUUUCUAUGUUGACGGAUUGCCUAGGUGUCGUCCUUGAACUGAACGGUAUUUUUGCCGCGGUGCCACUCGCCUACAUUCUACCUGGUCUUUGCUACCUUAAGCUCGAGGAAGGGCCCAUUCUCUCAUCCAAAAAGCUGCCGGCGCUUGGUCUGAUGACUGCCGGUAUCCUGGUCGCCAUCUCGGGUCUCUUGCUGCUUAUUAUCAACAGCAAUUCUUCCGACAGCUGUUUUCAUGGCAAAAUAAUGCCAUACUGCGUCAAUAAUACGACGAUGACGACAACGCUGCAAUUCAUCGACGCGACCACGACAUCCAUCAAUGUCAACACGGAAUCCGCAGUCUAAAUUUAACAGACGAGCACGGUAAAAAAACCUUUAGUUUAAUUGUAAGUCUGCCAAAUUUUCGAAUGAAAGUAUAUAGCGCGAUUAAGUUAGCGCGUACAAAUAUGCGCAGGAAUAAUCUGAAUCGAUAGGAUAUAUUCAGUCGGUAAUAUUCAGUCACGGAUACAAAGUAAGACGACAAGUAUGCAUGUGUAACAAUAUGCACGAAAAAAAUUGAAAUUGUAUACACAAUUUUGAAAGUUCCGAAACGCGAGAUUUUAUACCAAGCACGAAGAAAAAUCAAAAGACCACUCCACAUCGAAACAAGACUUUAUCUGUGAAUGAAUAUACCGUUUCAACGUGAGAUUUAUGAUACAUUAUAUGGAAGAUAAAAGAGACUUAUGAUACAUUAUAUGAAAGAUAAAACUGCGCAAACAAUUUACAAAUAGUUCCAAAGAGAAUUACGGGAGAUAUAUUACAUUACGGAGAUAUUUUAUAAUGCGCUUAAUAAAACAGCUUCAGUAGCUCGAGAUUUGAGAAUACACGGGACACAAAUUUAUGAAAAAAAGCAAGACUUAACCAUUUAUAUUAAUUAAUUGGAAAUAUUUGAUUAUAUCGAAUUGUUUUCUCCACUAUUCCUGUCUUUGCGAUGUCGUGAUUUGGGGAGAUCAUUUCAAACGCAUAUUCGCAAUACGAAAUCAAUGCAAUACAGGAUUCGGCUUACAAGCGAGAAAUCCGAAAAUUGGCAAUAGAUGAUCGUUCUUUCUGCCAUUUAAUAAAAUAUAUAGUCCUCUGAAUGUUCAUCGUACGCAAAUUUAAUAAAAAUCAUAAUUUUUACAUAGUUGCGUGCACACAAUGAGCUUGAAAUGUUCGCGAGUAAAAAUAAUUGAUUAACUUUUGCGUCGUACUUUAUUAGAGAGACAGAAUUUUAACGUACCAAUCGCGAUGAUUAUUGAAUUUCCGAUAUCAUUAUUAUUGAUAGGCGCGAAAAAUAUGAUUCUUAUAUCUAGUCCUAAUAAAGUUCCAAGAAAGAAAUCUCCGUGGUUAUAUAUAAUGCGCGAAUAUUAAAUAAUAAUUAUCGUGAUUAGAUAAUUGUGAUUAGAUAGCUAACGUAUAGAGGAAGAACGCGUAUAAGCUAAAAAACUCAUUAUAUUUUUAAAAGAAUGUUGAACAGAUAAACGGUUUAUAAAUGAGGAUAUAUACUAUAUGUGUAUAUAUACAUAAUACACAUAUACAUAUUAUACACAUUAUAUUUGUAUUUUCUCUUGUUAACGGACUAAUGACUAAUAUAUUGAAUGUUGAAAAAUUAAGGGAUAUAUAUAUAAAUAUUUAAUUAAAUGCUCAUUAAUGUGUAUGAUAAUUAUAAUUGAUGACUUAAAAAGGUAUUAUAUUAUUUCAUCUCUUGUACAAUUUGCCUUAUCUUGCCUAAGAUUCUUGACAUGUGUUAUAUUUCUUGAAGGGAAAAAAAGCAAUCAACGAUGCUGAUCAUUUUUUAAUCUUUUACGAAAAGAAUGAAAUUGUAUUUAAGACUAUUUUCUCUUGUGCGUAUAUAAGCUUUUUGAGUACAAUCAAAUAUUAUUUGCAACGUGAGAAAAAUCAAAAAGAAUACAGAGGAAUAAAAUAGAUUCGCGCUGAUACAAUCAUUAUUCAGAUUUCAUAUUUUUGCUUGUAAAAUUUAAUUGAAAGAUUAUACGGUGAAGACUUUGGAAUAUUAUGUUUUUAUAGCUUAGAGAGAACAAGAGAGAGAUAGAGUUAAAGUAUCUAUAAAAUCACACAGAGCUACAAUGAAAAUCACGACACAAUCACGAGGCGAAAGUAAAUUUCCGCUUCUUAAAUGACGCUUACAGACGUUCACACUGAUCAAAAGACCACAUGUAAGAGGAAAGUAUUUACCGCGCAUGAUUUGCGUACCAUAGUCUGUAAGAAUCAAACAUGUUUACCUGUUUAGAAAUAUAUUUGAUGAAUCUAUAUAAAAAAGAUUAUAAGAAAAGCCUAUUUAAGAUAAGAAAAAUUAUUAAAAGAGUCCAUAUAAAGUUGAUAUAUAUUAAAUGAAAGAGGGACACGUCCCCCCCUCCCGACCCUUUUGUCUCUCUCCCUCGGAAAAAAAUAGAGUAUAUAUUAUCCGCGAAUGAAGAAUAUAACGCGCGCAAUAUGAGACAAGAGGAUAUAUAUAAAGAGAGAGAAAGAGAGAGAGAUUCCUAUUUGAAAAAUAUAUAUCUUCAUAUAUAUUUAUAUGUGAAUUUGUGUGGCGCGCAUACGCUAUCACGCACAUACACACACGACGUUCCGUGAAAUGUUUGUAAGACAAAAAAGUAUAUGCCUCGUCAACAUGUGUUGUAUGUAAUUAUUUAAAGUAAUUAUAUAUGUAUGUACAUGUGCGCAAUAUUGGCGAUAUAUUCUUUGUACACAUGUAUGUAUACAUGUUUGAAUAUUUUUAAUCGUGGCGAAAUGACUAAACACAUUUAAUAAAGCAUACAAAAGAAAGAGACAGAGAGAGAGAGAGAGAGAGAGAGAGAGAGAUAGAGAGAAGUUCUGCACGUAUAUCGUACAAAGAAUUAUUAUCAUCGUUUUUGAAAUCUCGUUUCAAGUUCCUGAGCCGAUCUCUCUCUUUUCAAUGUUCACUCGCAUAUUUAACUUAAUGGUUCGAUAAAUAAUUACAUGGUUGUGAACUUUAUGGUGUACAAAGCUUUUACAAAGCUUUAAGAUGUUAAAUUUGACGACUUUGCAUAAAAAAGGUGCACAAAGUUAGUAUCAGUCAGAAAAAAUAUUCCAAUUGUCAUCGAUAAGAGAGAGAGGGAGAGAGAGAGAGAGAAGAGAAAAAUUUAUUACAGAUGCAGCCUUAACAUUUUGUAAAUGUAAAUGUAUCGUCAUUUAAUAUUAUGUGAACUUUCCACGUGGAGCAAUCGUUAAGAAUCGUAAUACAAGAGCGUAAUCUAUUUGUAUAUGCAAUAUCGUACUCUUGGUAUAAUUACGCGUGUGUGUAUGUAUAAUUUCAGUGCUUUCUUAAUAUUUCUCGAUGCGCAAUCUUUGUUUCGAUCUGAUGUUAUGUUUCUGGGAAAUAGGAUUUAACGAAGUGUUUUGAAUCGCGAGUGAGACUUUGUAAAAAUUGCGAAAGUUUCGUUUUUCGAAUAAAUUUCAUUCUUCUUAAAUCUCUUCCUACGCGCGUGAAAGUAAAUAUAGAGAGUAAAUUCGCAAUGGAAGGAAAGUCGGGUGCACAGGGGGGAGAGGAAAAAAGAAAUGAGAACCAAAUCGACAAUUUCGCAGGAAUGGGAGACGCGUUCGCGAAGUCGAGUGCGUGUGCGCGAGUGUGUGUAUGCGUGUGUAUCGUGCGUGUAUAAGAUGAGUUAUUAUACUAUGUAAAUGGCAAUCUCGCGUUAUUCCAUCGUCUCGCGGGUCUUCCGACCAUAUUUAUUCUGUGAUAGAUGCACGCGUUUGCGAGGAAUAUGUAUAUAUAUAUGUAUAUAUACAUAUAUACAUAUAUGGCGGGUGUGCGUGGCGCGCGCGUACCCGCCGAUGCUGUACGACGCUAUAUGAUGUUACCUAAAUUUAUUUCGCGAAAUAAAAAACAAAUUUACGAUUAUAAACGAAGCAAAGAAAUGUUCUCCGUGUAUAUCCGCUUGUUUCCCCCUUUCAUUUCCCGCUUGUAAAAAUUCAUCUUUGUCUAUCUUCGCGUGACAACAGUCGCUGGCAUUCAGGACUUAGGAAUGCGAUCGUUCCGACGUAUUUCUCUCCUAUCGCGACGAUUUAUCAUAGAGUUUCACUUAACAAUAUAAGGGAACAAGAUCUUGGUUGCUCUAUUUGGCUCGGCGUGACAGCUACGAAAGACAGAGAUAGAGAAAAACAAUUUCGAACCUGCCUUCGAUAAAAUAGGACGAAGACGAGGAGGAGGAGGAGGAUUAAGACGAGAUAUAUCAUCUCGGAGCAUCGCG